UGGCACAUGAUGCCUCUCCCUCAGUAGUUUGCCUGUGUAGAUGGUUGAUAGAAAGUUGUACUAAAUUAAUGUCUUCUUCCGUAGCUUGCUUAGCAUGCUCUCCCAUCAAGAAAAUGGAGUGUGGUGUGUGAAGAUGUGAUGUGUGAAGAUUUGAGGACGGGAAUUGGUGUGAAGAUUUGAGGACGGGAAUUGGUGUGAAGAUUUGAGGACGGGAAUUGGAUAUGUGUACCAAUAUGAAACUCCGGCUGGAUCUGAAAUUGAGGUGUACUCAAACAGUGUUUGUGGAGAUCUUAUGACUCCAAUAGCCUACUGUGGCAUGAACAAGCCUUUUGAGGCACAUCUCUCUGAUAAGGUGAUAAAUGUGAACAACAGUGCUGUCAUCCUCUCUGAAUGCCUGAAUCUGACAUUCACAUUCUUUCAUGUUCUCCAGGGCAAGGUGGAGGAGCGCCAUUUGUAUUACAUUGUUGCAGGGCAAGGUGGAGGAGUGCCAUUUGUAUUACAUUGUUGCAGGGCAAGGUGGAGGAGUGCCAUUUGUAUUACAUUGUUGCAGGUAAAGAAUGAUUUUCCUAUUUUCUUUCAUUUUAAACUUCUUGCACUUUCAUAUUGAUACAUAUAUCCAAGGCAGUUAACGCUAAUUUCUCUGGAUAAGAGCGUCUGCUAAAAUGUAAAAAACGUAGACUGACAAUUCAACUGACAUUUUAAUUUACAAUCCGACUGACACCUCGGACAACACAUCAGGUAAGUACUCUUAACUAAUAUAAAGACAGCUCAUUACUGUCUAUAGCAUCUCCAUCUGAAAUAAAAUACAUAUUCAAUUGAAAUGAUUUUACUCUCUGAUUAAACUCAGGAAAUGGAGACAAAGCCAAAGCCACUGGCCACACAAAGGAAAUCACUGCUGGUGUUCUUGGUUCUGCUGCUGGGCAUUGCUGGUUUCUUAGUGUACAGAUAUGGCAACAUUCCUUGGAGAGACAAACAUCCCUUAGAUCGGCUGGGUCGGGACUACCUUAACACCAACAGGGAAAAACAAAGGUGAGUCAGACUCUGUCAACCUGAGGACAGUUUUAGUAGUUACGUGGUUUAAUGUGCUGAAGUGUUUCAUGUUACAUGACUAAAUAUCAGUUAUCAUGCCAGACAACAGCUUAGAGCAGCAAGAAGUAACACGUGUUGUUGUUUUAACUUCUCUAAGGGACAACGGAGAACCUGAUCCAGCUGCUGGGGACGCCGAGUCUCUCCGAUAUGCGCUUGUCUAUAAUCUAUAACUGCAUGUGUCCCUUUGAACCAUCAGGGACCAGGGGGAUGGGGUGGAAGAGGAGAGGGAGCCACCACACAGUCAGGAGACACAUGUUGAGUCCUCUCUGCUGAAUGGGCAUCUUGUGAACAGGUUAACCUUUCUCUGAGAAAGACCCUCAUUACUUCAUUACCGGUUGGGUUUCAUUAUCCUCAGUCAGAGCUGAUCCCAUGAGUCAUUGAUCCCACAGGUUUAAUAGAAAGACCCGUUUGUUUAACACGUGCUCCUUAUAUUCUAAUACCUGUAAUACCUAAUGAGCAUGGUAAAUGCUCAUGCAAGGAGAGAGAGGUGAGCCCAUUCAGCCAAUGGGCCGUGAGGGAACAGAUACUGAAUUCUCUCAGAAGAGAAAUGCUGGAUUUCAUUUUGAGACAGUUUGCUACAGCAGGAAAAUAAUCCUGCAGCAACAGGAAAUGUGAAUUGUUACGUGAGUUGAUAGAUUUUUCAUUAGGGCAAAUCAAAUCGGUCAUUUUAAGGUAGAAAUUACCAACUUUCAAUGCCCUUUUAAACUUUGAAUACACUACAGGUUUGCAUUUCCUGCUGUGCAGGAAAAUGCUCAGCAACCAAAGAGUGAUCAAUUUAAGAUCGUACCUCUGUAAUCUCACAAUGGGGCAUGUAAUAACGUUUGUCUUGUGGUGGAUCAAUGAUGAUGUCAGGUAAACUUCACUACAUAUUGAUACAUCCACAACUCAUUGGUAUAAUGUCACCAACCCCAUUUUCCCACGGUUCCUCUGUCUGUUUAGGGGACAGUAUUGUGGUGGAUCAUGAAUGUGAAUGUUGAUGUCUUAUUACUCCAACAGGGUUAACGAUGAGACUAAGGAAGCGACUCCUGGUGCACAGAGUCCAGGACCUCCUCAGACGAAUGGAGGACCUCCCAUGUCUGACAGGUUGGAGAACAACCCUGUUGGUCAGUGGAUGAAGAAAACUGCUCUGGUGAACAAGCAGGACCAGGACUGGUCAGCAACGGCAUGAAGCCAGUUGAAAAUAUAUAGCAUAUAAGAUGAAACUAAGUGUAAAUAUAAUAAAAAAUAACAUGAUAUACACUGUAAUAUAGAACAGUAUAAUAUAAUAUGACAUGAUAUAAUAUCGUAACACUUACUUGUAUAGUGUUAUAUAUUCUAAUGAAUGCAUUCUUAACAACAUGAAUGAUGCAUUAAUGCAUACAUAGGACAUAACUGUAUAGUAAAAUUAUAAUAUAAUACUGUGCUGGUAAGCUGCUAGCUGUGGGGUUGCCCCCAGCUGUGGUUUCUAUUAUUCAGAGUAUCUAAGCUCAACUUCAAAUCCAUAGUUUUUAGCUUAGUUCUUACCGUAAACUAGCACUUCUUAGAGACAAAGUUAUGGGACAUGCUGUAUAACUACUUACCAUUCUGAAGUGUAACAGUCAAGUUUAUAUGUAACAAUUGUUCAUCCCUUUUUUAAAUGUUUAUUUAUAUAUUUGUUUGCUUGAUUAGAUUGAAUUAGUAUGACUAAUGCAUUAUUUUACCCUCCCGUAUAGAGGGACAUUAUUUUACCCUCCUGUAUAGAGGGACAUUAUUUUACCCUCCUGUAUAGAGGGACAUUAUUUUACCCUCCUGUAUAGAGGGACAUUAUUUUACCCUCCCAUAUAGAGGGACAUUAUUUUACCCUCCCGUAUAGAGGGACAUUAUUUUACCCUCCCGUAUAGAGGGACAUUAUUUUACCCUCCCGUAUAGAGGGACAUUAUUUUACCCUCCCGUAUAGAGGGACAUUAUUUUACCCUCCCGUAUAGAGGGACAUUAUUUUACCCUCC